UACGUAGGGGGCAAGCGUUGUCCGGAUUUAUUGGGCGUAAAGAGCUCGUAGGCGGUUUGGUAAGUCAGGUGUGAAAUCUCCACGCUCAACGUGGAGGGGCCACCUGAUACUGCCAUGACUGGAGUCCGGUAGAGGAGUGUGGAAUUCCUGGUGUAGCGGUGAAAUGCGCAGAUAUCAGGAGGAACACCGGUGGCGAAGGCGCCGCUCUGGGCCGGUACUGACGCUGAGGAGCGAAAGCGUGGGUAGCAAACAGG
rnacentral:rRNA from 1 species